rnacentral:rRNA from 1 species
GACGAAGGGGGCUAGCGUUGUUCGGAAUUACUGGGCGUAAAGCGCGCGCAGGUGGUCUUUCAAGUCAGUGGUGAAAGCCCGGAGCUCAACUCCGGAAAUGCCAUUGAAACUGUGAGACUUGAGGACGAGAGAGGUGAGUGGAAUUCCCAGUGUAGAGGUGAAAUUCGUAGAUAUUGGGAAGAACACCGGUGGCGAAGGCGGCUCACUGGCUCGUAUCUGACGCUCAGGCGCGGCAGCGUGGGGAUCAAACAGG